rnacentral:rRNA from 1 species
UGGGGAAUUUUGCACAAUGGGGGAAACCCUGAUGCAGCGACGCCGCGUGAUUUAGAAGGCCUUCGGGUUGUAAAAAUCUUUUUUACGGGAUGAAAAUGACAGUACCGUAAGAAUAAGGUCCGGCUAAAUACGUGCCAGCAGCCGCGGUAAUACGUAUGGACAGAGCGUUGUCCGGAAUCAUUGGGCGUAAAGGGUACGUAGGCGGCCUAGUAAGUUAGAAGUGAAAUAAUAUAGCUCAACUAUAUAAAGCUUUUAAAACUGCUAGGCUUGAGAGAUGGAAGGGAAAGUGGAAUUCCUAGUGUAGCGGUGAAAUGCGCAGAUAUUAGGAAGAAUACCGGUGGCGAAGGCGACUUUCUGGUCAUCAUCUGACGCUGAGGUACGAAAGCGUGGGUAGCAAACAGG